GAUGAAGAACGUAGCGAAAUGCGAUACGUAAUGUGAAUUGCAGAUUUCAGUGAAUCAUCGAAUCUUUGAACGCACAUUGCGCCCGCCAGUAUUCUGGCGGGCAUGCCUGUUCGAGCGUCAUUUCAACCCUCAAGCCCCCGGGCUUGGUGUUGGGGAUCGGCGUGCCCUCGCGGCGCGCCGUCCCCUAAAUCUAGUGGCGGUCUCGCUGUAGCUUCCUCUGCGUAGUAGCAACACUCGCACUGGAUCGCAGCGCGGCCACGCCGUUAAACCCCCCACUUCUGAAAGUUUGACCUCGGAUCAGGUAGGAAUACCCGCUGAACUUAAGCAUAUCAAUAAGCGGAGGA
rnacentral:misc_RNA from 1 species